CUACGUGCCAGCAGCCGCGGUAAUACGGAAGGUCCUGGCGUUAUCCGGAUUUAUUGGGUUUAAAGGGAGCGCAGGCUGCACUUUAAGCGUGUUGUGAAAUGUACCGGCUCAACCGGUAACGUGCAGCGCGAACUGGGGUGCUUGAGUACGAAGAGGGAAGGCGGAACUCGUGGUGUAGCGGUGAAAUGCUUAGAUAUCACGAGGAACUCCGAUCGCGAAGGCAGCUUUCCGUUUCGGGACUGACGCUGAGGCUCGAAAGUGCGGGUAUCGAACAGGAUUAGAUACCCUGGUAGUCCGCACGGUAAACGAUGGAUGCUCGCUGUUGGAUAUUUUUAUUCAGUGGCUAAGUGAAAACGUUAAGCAUCCCACCUGGGGAGUACGCCGGCAACGGUGAAACUCAAAGGAAUUGACGGGGGCCCGCACAAGCGGAGGAACAUGUGGUUUAAUUCGAUGAUACGCGAGGAACCUUACCCGGGCUU
rnacentral:rRNA from 1 species